UUGAAUAUACUACCAUAUAGAUACGCUUGAAAUCGCUCUACACUCCAUACCACAGCCAAAGCAUCCUUCUCUGUUUGACAGUAACGCUUUUCGGUAUCUGUCAAGGACUUAGACGCACAACUCACCACCCGACUUUCAUCUUUUUUAUCAGUCUGGAUCAAUAAGGCUCCUAAUCCAAAUGGGCUAGCAUCAGCCAUCGCCGUGGUUAAAUCACGUUUAUUGAAAAAGCCCAGCUUUUGGGCUUCAGCUAUAGCUUUUUUAUGUUUUCAAACGAUUUCUGUUGAUCUUCGGUCUAUUUAAAAUCAGAAUCUUUCCUUAAGUCUGGUUUAGAGUUCCCGUGAACGUGAACUUGAACAGGUGGUGGAAUAGUACGAUCAUUUCACGGUGAACUACAUUGCGAACAAACAACUAAAAAAAAUCGUGGUGAAUAGAAUGAUUUUGUUCACGUUCACGUUCAUAUUCGGCAGUAAACGUGAAGUAAAUAAACAUCGAUCUUCAAUAAAGUAAUUCGGAUAAAAUAUACAGUUGUUCACGAAUCAACCCGAAGCAACGAAGUUUUUCAACCCGCGGAAAGAUCCGAUUGAAUGAAAUUGCAUCCAUAUCAAAAUUUUCAUUGAAAACUUGAGAAUUGCUAAACAUAUCCUUUUAAGUUCACGGUGAAAUAAUUUUCAGAAUGCCUUGGGACUAGAGAUGGGCAAACCGUUCAUGAACUGUUCAAAAGAACUAAUUCACCAAAAAAAGUGAACGAACGGUCGUUCUUUUCUACUGGGCAACAGUUCAUAUGAACCAAGAUGCUAAACUAUAGGUGUUUCGUUCUUGACACUUUCAUGACAAUACGUGAGACGAGUUGCGAGACGUAGCUUUCUGCAUUGUUUACUUUUUGUUUGGUUGUGUCGUUAUGGUUUCAUAUCAACUCGCUGAGGAAAACAACUGAAGAAAGAAAUAAGCAAAUAUAUAUUCGUGAAAAAUAGUGUACUAGAGCUGCAAUAAGAUGCCGUAUUAUUGUGCAGUAAAAGGAUGCGGAAACAAGGUCCGCAUAACGAAAAACAACCCGGACAUUGUUUACCACACUUUCCCCCGAGAUGGAGAUAGACUUCAUAAAUGGAUACUUUUCUGUGGCCAAUUACUUUCAACAACUCUUUCCGGAUCUUCUGGCGUGAUCGAUAGUCGUGAUUCCAACAGUUUAUUUCACCUGUAAUAUAUUAGCAACACAAAAGUCCACUAAUUUGAAAAAUAAACACGAACCUGUUGCAA